UUUUAAAAAGGAAAAAGAUCAAAUGUAUUACACAGAACAUAUCUAUAAUCAGCAUACAUGGUAGAAUUACAUUUUGGAAAUGGUAACUACUGCAUAUUUGGAUGCCAAACUGCUUUUGCUUUCAAAUGGUGAUUAGACUCAUUAUUUAUUUAUUUAUUUACCUUCCAACUGGGUUCAUGAUCUCAGAGAAUUCCACUCCUGGAGUCGGAUCAGAAUUUCCCACCGACUCCAGAGUUAUGUUUCUAUCCUCACUGAACUCAUGCAUUUGCAGUUCUAGUGCUAACUCCAGGUUCCAAAGCACCUCAUUCAUCGAUGGCCGAUCUAGCCCCCGUUCUGCCAAGCACUGUUGUGUGAUCUCCAUGAACUUUGCAAGAGAUGCCGGUGAAAUUUUUCCUUCCAAAUGUGGGUCAAUGAUUUGAUCCCAUUCUGCCUUUUCGUGGCAAUUUAAGGCCCACUCAACAAAGCUUAAAGCAUCUUCAUCAUCCUCGUUGUGAUUAUUUUCUUCAGCUGCAGAAGGAUUCACCACAAACUUUGCGGAAAGCACCUCCAACAGCACUACUCCGAAAGAGUAAACAUCAGAUUUGUUCGACAAUAUCUGAAAGCGGCAGUAUUCUGGGUCCAGAUACCCAAUGCUACCCUUAACUUUGGUGCUUCCACUGGUAAGGCCUAUUUUGGACAAGCCAAAAUCUGAAAUCUUGACCACCCAGUUAUCGUCUAACAAGAUGUUACUGGUCUUGACAUCGCGAUGGACGAUUUCAAGCUUUAAUCCUGUAUGGAGGUAGCAUAGACCUUGCGCAGCUCCAAUGCAUAUCUGGAGUCGCUGGAUCCAUGACAGAGGUGAUUUUUGUGGUUUAUUAACAAAAUGAAGAUGCUCGAACAGAGUACCGUUGGGCAUAUACUCGUACACAAGGAUCAUCUCCUGCUCAUCAUGGCAGUAACCCAUCAGAGAAACAACAUUGUUAUGACGAAGGAGAGAAAGCGUCUUAAUCUCUGCGAGAAAUUCACAGAAACCCUGUUUAAUGGACGCUUGAUUGCCACGCUUGAUGGCAACUGCAGUCACCCCACUGUCCAGGUAGCCUUUAUAAACCACACCAAACCCACCAGUACCGAUAACAUAUGCCUCAUCAAAGUUAUUAGUUGCCGCUUUGAUCUCCUUCACAGUGAAAUAGCGACAGAGUGACUGGGCAUGUCUUGUCUUGCUUUUCUUUUUUCUCUUGCUUGCUGCUGUGAUCCAAAAAGCAAGCGCGCACAUGAUAAGGAAUGCCAAGAUAACUCCGCUAACAGAACAGCCAACACUGGUAAGUAGUCUUUUCUUUGAACUUCCGGAUGAUCUAGAGGAAGGAUUAACUAGCGAUCCCUGCUCUUGGGGUGGAUUGAGUCCAGCGAGAUCUCCACCAUAAUUACUUAAUUUGAAUAUCUCCACCCCAUUUAAAAUCGCGUCAUAGUAUUGAGGCUUCGUUUUGGUGUUGGGGUGCAGCUCCACCCAAAGAUCCUGAAUCCUUUCUCUUACUUGUGGAAACAUUGCGAUGUAGUCCUUGUACACGGGAAUACCUUGCCCACCGCUCCAUGCAAUGACAUCAGCUUGAUCCUGGGCUGUUUGAUUAUUGAUGUAUAUAGAAAAAACUCUCUGGUUUGUCUUUGUUAUAUUCCGAUAAAGCUCACAGAAAUGGAGCCUGACAAGAUAGAUAAAACCAGUUUCAACAGGAAAAAACCAACUUAAAUUAUAAUUUAGGUUGAUCGCAAUAUUAGUUCCCAUAAAACGGCCGGUGCGAUAUACGACAACAGGUGCAGUGUAUGCUGGUACUGUUGGUGUGUACCUAACAUUAAGAUCAAAAUCAAAUGCCCAAACUCCCCAAGCAGAUCCAAGUAUGUAUUUAUCGUCCUGUAUCCAAGUGCGAAACAUCCCCGUGUCUGAUUCGGGAGAAACAUCAUUGCCUCCUACAUUGAUUCUGUAAACUGUCUCUAGUGCAGAUGUAUUGUCCAGUCUGAUUGGCGAUGCAGGAUACCCAACAAAAGGAAGAGAAGCAUCCUCUCGUACGUAGAGAUUCAAUGGCAUCGAAACAACUUCAAUUCCGUUGACAAAGGCAAAUGCAUCAGAAGCAUUCGAAGAAGGGCUACAAGUCAGAUGAAGUGAAUCGUUUUGCACAUGAAUUAUGAACUCCUUGAAAAAAGUAGAUUCGUUUUUGUAAUUGGCUUCUAGAGAAGCACUGAAGUUGGUAAGGAGAGUAUGGUGACCACAAGAAACUGAGAGAAACGCUUUGGAGUCAUCAAGACCAGAAUAAGAACAUGGAUAGAAGUAAAGACGGACAAAUUUUGGGCCGGGUGUGACAUUGAAGAUGUAGGUGAAUUCAGAGUAGAAUAGCCGAGCGGUCUCGUAAGGAACUUGAGGGACUCCAGGGUCCAUGGAAGAGGCCAUCGAUACAGUAGAGUUUGUGUGCCGGUUGAAAGCCACAAACUUUGAUCUGACAUCGCCAGUCCAGUUCCGGCCAUCGAAGGACAAAGUUUUCAAACCAGAGGAACCACAAUCUAGUGCAGUAUUUUCUAUGGGAACGUAAGGAAUGUUAUCUGCACAAAGGGAGUCCUUGAGAUACAAGGAGAAACAGAAUUGUAGGAAGAUGAUAACGUGCAAGGACUUAGAGAAAGGUUUCAUGGCGGUUUUGAUCCAAAGGGAAUUUUGCACUAUAUAUAUAUAUAUCACAAAACUUUUUAAUUCAUAAUUAAAGCUAUAUUGUUGCAUUAAAAUAAGUAGUUUAAAUAUUGUUAAACUGAUAAUUCAAUAUUCUGAAAUCUAGAAUCUCAAUUUCUAAAAA
rnacentral:misc_RNA from 1 species